rnacentral:rRNA from 1 species
GNNCAGGCGCUGCUACCAUGCAGUCGACGGUGAACACGGAGCUUGCUCUGUGGGAUCAGUGGCGAACGGGUGAGUAACACGUGAGCAACCUGCCCCUGACUCUGGGAUAAGCGCUGGAAACGGCGUCUAAUACUGGAUAUGUGACGUGACCGCAUGGUCUGCGUUUGGAAAGAUUUUUCGGUUGGGGAUGGGCUCGCGGCCUAUCAGCUUGUUGGUGAGGUAAUGGCUCACCAAGGCGUCGACGGGUAGCCGGCCUGAGAGGGUGACCGGCCACACUGGGACUGAGACACGGCCCAGACUCCUACGGGAGGCAGCAGUGGGGAAUAUUGCACAAUGGGCGAAAGCCUGAUGCAGCAACGCCGCGUGAGGGAUGACGGCCUUCGGGUUGUAAACCUCUUUUAGCAGGGAAGAAGCGAAAGUGACGGUACCUGCAGAAAAAGCGCCGGCUAACUACGUGCCAGCAGCCGCGGUAAUACGUAGGGCGCAAGCGUUAUCCGGAAUUAUUGGGCGUAAAGAGCUCGUAGGCGGUUUGUCGCGUCUGCUGUGAAAUCCCGAGGCUCAACCUCGGGCCUGCAGUGGGUACGGGCAGACUAGAGUGCGGUAGGGGAGAUUGGAAUUCCUGGUGUAGCGGUGGAAUGCGCAGAUAUCAGGAGGAACACCGAUGGCGAAGGCAGAUCUCUGGGCCGUAACUGACGCUGAGGAGCGAAAGGGUGGGGAGCAAACAGGCUUAGAUACCCUGGUAGUCCACCCCGUAAACGUUGGGAACUAGUUGUGGGGUCCAUUCCACGGAUUCCGUGACGCAGCUAACGCAUUAAGUUCCCCGCCUGGGGGAGUACGGCCGCAAGGCUAAAACUCAAAGGAAUUGACGGGGACCCGCACAAGCGGCGGAGCAUGCGGAUUAAUUCGAUGCAACGCGAAGAACCUUACCAAGGCUUGACAUAUACGAGAACGGGCCAGAAAUGGUCAACUCUUUGGACACUCGUAAACAGGUGGUGCAUGGGUUGUCGUCAGCUCGUGUCGUGAGAUGUUGGGUUAAAGUCCCGCAACGAGCGCAACCCUCGUUCUAUGUUGCCAGCACGUAAUGUGGGAACUCAUGGGAUACUGCCCGGGGUCACUCGGGAGAAGGUGGGGAUGACGUCAAUCAUCAUGGCCCCUAUGUCUGGNCUUCACGCAAUGCUACAUGNCNGNACCAANNNCUGCAUACCGGUGAAGG